rnacentral:rRNA from 1 species
UACGGAGGGGGCUAGCGUUGUUCGGAAUUACUGGGCGUAAAGCGCACGUAGGCGGACGAGAAAGUCAGAGGUGAAAUCCCGGGGCUCAACCCCGGAACGGCCUUUGAAACUCCUUGUCUUGAGGUCGUGAGAGGUGAGUGGAAUUCCGAGUGUAGAGGUGAAAUUCGUAGAUAUUCGGAGGAACACCAGUGGCGAAGGCGGCUCACUGGCACGAUACUGACGCUGAGGUGCGAAAGCGUGGGGAGCAAACAGG